UGGCUGCAUCCAAAGCCAGUCCGGAUGCAAAAGAGGGCCCCGGCCUCGGUCGGGUGGGGUGCACGGGAGCGCGGUGGGGGGCUGGGGGGGGCAAGAGGCGUGGGGAGGCUUUGGAGGGGGGCCACCUUCUGCAGUUGUCACCGCGUCAGCUCUGGGCAUCUGCCAGAGCACCCCUCCAGGCAACUUCUUCCCACAGCCCCCUCUGAUGGACCCCAACUCUCCCCACGCCUCGCCCGUCCAGCGGGACACAAAGAAAUCCCAGUCUCUUCGUAAACUUUGUGCUUCCAGUUAUGCCGCCCCCUCCCCUAGCCUCCACCCCCGCCCUUCCAGCUUCUUGGCAGGAAGGUUAGGCCCCUGGCAGAAUCCUCGGCGUGAGGCAGCUGAUCACAAAUGCCAACUGUGUGUCUUGGGGCCAGUUAAGCCCUCUCAUCUGCCCGGGCUCUCUAGAGACCAUUUCAAUGCUCUCAAGGUUCCCAGGAGACCGCUGCGGACGUGGACCAUCCCCCACUUAGCCCGCACGGAUGGGAUGCUGAGCGGUGUCCUCAAAGUGCUCUCUCUCACCUCGAGUUUUCAUUUCUAGAUUGUAAAAAUUCCGAAUUUGGAAACAGGCAGAUAUUUUUCCCUCAUAUCAAAAAGGAGGACCAUUAACUAGGUGAUUAGCCCUAGGUGGGAAAUGAAGCGUCUCUAAUCAGAAUACUAACUUCUUGAGGAAGUCGGUGGAAGUUCUGAAGUCCCACCCCAUCCCAUGACCUUUAAUUCUUUUUAGUUCUUCUGCCGCAGGGAAGCAGCCAGCGACUAAUAAAAGAUUUGAUCUUGCCAUAAUUUCCCAAGCAGACUCACUGAUUUCAUCUCUACAUAGUGGUUCAUUUUGAAAACUUUCGGCUUUCAAAGACAAAUCAUUGAAGAAUCACAUAUGUACUAUUCUGAGAGAAGAGAGUCAUGGGAUCAAGUCUAUUAAAAAAAA